rnacentral:rRNA from 1 species
UACGGGGGGGGCAAGCGUUGUUCGGAAUUACUGGGCGUAAAGGGCUCGUAGGUGGCCAACUAAGUCGGACGUGAAAUCCCUCGGCUUAACCGGGGAACUGCAUCCGAUACUGGAUGGCUUGAGUUCGGGAGAGGGAUGCGGAAUUCCAGGUGUAGCGGUGAAAUGCGUAGAUAUCUGGAGGAACACCGGUGGCGAAGGCGGCAUCCUGGACCGACACUGACGCUGAGGCGCGAAAGCGUGGGGAGCAAACAGG